AGAUGUCCUUUCCAGGAUGGAAAUAGUACAUACUAUUACGAUACUUGUAGGAUAGAAAGAACAUCUCAGGAAACUACAGGUCACUCCACCUGACAUCAAAAGUGAGGAAAAAGGAAUUCAGCCCCGGUAGCUGAUCAGUCCUAAAUCCAAGGCUGCUCAUAUUUAAACAAGGGACUGAGUCUGCUGCAAGUACUCAAAUUUUCUCCUGGUGGAGCAGUUAAGGUACAAGAUGUUGUUGUGGUUCUGGUUGGAGUCCCACAUGAAGUAAAAACACAGAAAGUACAGGAAGAAAGAAAAACAGUAUCUAUCUCAGUGUUUGAAAAAAAGCAAUUAGUAUCAGAGUCUGAGGAUGAACUAGGUGUCUUCCUGGACCCCUGCCUUCACUAGGUAUGGUCUCAAUAAAGAACACACUGUGACGCCCCUUGAGCACUUGCUGAAGCCAGUGUCAGCCAAUGCCCGGCAAUAGACAGCACUAUAGGAGGCAGGAAGUGGAGCGGUGCCGAGGGUAUGAGCAAAACAUUGAUUUUAAAUUUACCUCAAACUAAUCCAGUACGAGCCUUAGCAAAAUGUUUCCCUUGCCUUGUAGAUUGGCAUAAAAAACAGAGUCAGCCAGGAGACAAUGAUAUUAAUGAGUAGUAUCCAGAUUAACUCUACAAGUGGGAACACACAUCUUAAUAAAUGUUAGUGUAAAUAAGUUGCAACCUACAGUACUAUGCAAACAUAUUAGGUGUAUGUGUGUAUAUUAUAUCUAUAUAGCUAGAGAGCCAAAAAUUUUUAAGCAGUACUGUAUUUGUUAACACGGAGCAGAGAGCGAGUUGUAAGUCUGGCGGGAGCAAAGGAUGUUGGGAAUGGUGAGGGUGGUGCACUGCAGGAGGGAUGUAGAACAGGUGACAAAGGAGACACAGGGUACAGCCUUGUGACACCAGACAAGGUAAUUUAAUUCCAAACAAUUGGUUUAUUGAUCAAUUCAGAAUGUCUUUGUUGCUUCAUGUUCCCUUCCCCUUUUCCCAACCAUGAUUCCUCUCUCCUUGACCCCUCCCACUCUCACUCCACAAGAGACUCAUAUCAGAAUCAGGUUUACUAUUGCCCACAUAUACCAUAAACUUUUUUUUUGCAGCAACAGCAUAGUGCAAUACAUAAAAUUACUACAAUACUGUGCACAGUACUGCAGGUUAAAGGAAAACAUAUACUGUUACUUGGGUGAGAUGAGAGAGUUAAAGUAAAAUUGUCAGUGUUUUACAAUGUUGCCAAAAGCAAUUACAGCAUCAAGGGAUUAAAGCUGUUGAGGGGAAUGGGGACAAUACUUCAGUGAGACUUCCUGGGCUGCUCCACAAUAGCCUCUGGGCAAGAUUUUACAUUAUUUUAUAGGUACUGCGAUAACUAGCCUAUAAAUUUGAAAGUUGUUUUAACUUAUAGCUUUGUUUUAUAUUUAACAAAAUUCACUAAUGAGCAAAAUCUGGCUAAUCAUUUGAUGAUGACCAGAUCAAAAUUUCAUUGUAAUUCUCGUGUUUUAUAUUACCUGCUUUAUAUACAUAUGGCUCAUGUGACCCACUUAUGACAUGUAAUUUUUGUUAGAUAGUACUAUUCUAAAUGUACGGGUUUUACAGUUCUUCGAUCCAACUAACAUGGAAAUGGGACUGUGGACAGUGAGGGAGCAAACAUGACGAUUGAUGUCUGUGAGGGAUAUAUUUUUGUUUGUGAACAGCCUGGUCACUGAGCUCAAAGAUGUUCUCAGGCCAAGGCAGCUUUGAUAACAGUUUCCACCUCCACUGCCACCAGCACUAAAGACUAUAUUGUUUACACUAAAUAAUCCUUUUCUGAACUGUCCUUAAGAAUUUGUACGAGUUAAAAUCUGUCCAUUGCAAAAAGCCACCUGAUGUAAGCCCCCAUACAAUUUUGCUUUGUCCGCUUUUCCUUCCAAUCUGAUACAGAAUAAAAAUUAGAGAAAUAUUUUAGUGGUCGGGGCUUAUAACAGCUAAGAUAUCACAGCUACAUUCUCUACUGUUGCACUCUCAAUCUUACAGGGAAGCUGAAAGACAGACUGAAGCCCUGAAAUGCAGGUCAGCUAAAUUGUGCAACAAGACUGUGCUAAAAUUGCCAGAGGCACUUCCACUGGCCUCAUGACAUUGCGCUGCACUCCAAGCUGCAUAACAGGCCUAUCUCCACAUGAGACGGUUUCGGGACAUCCCAUGUGCUUGCCACUUACCCCUCCCUUUUUAAUUAAACAAAUCAACAUAAUCAUAUUAUGAGUGACAGCAUGUUGCAGUAUUGUACAGCACUAACAUAAAAUCUUAAAGGUUCCCACCAACAGGCAUUUGAAGCCCAGAAGAUCAUGCUGACUGCAGUGUCAGACCUACCAGCUGGGAGAUUGGGUACUGGCAAGAGCCUACCGACAAAAGAGCUCUCUGGAGCCCUGCAGUGAAGGUCUAUUCAAAGGUUCAAAAGUUAAUUUAUUAUCAAAGUAUACAACCUGAAAUUCUUUUUCUCUGGGUGGCCGUGAAACCAAAAAGAAAAACAGCACAAUCAUCAACCCCCAAAAAGCCCCGUCUCCCGCACAGAAAAACCCAACAAAAUGGAAGAAGCACACCAACUCCCAAAUCUCCUCCUCCGUACAAUAAAAAAGACUGGUCAAAAAACACAAUAAAUUAUAAGACUAAAAAAAAGUCUGUGGUCCAAGUCUACAUCCAAAAUGCAGAAACCUGGGCAAUACUCUCUGGGCACAACAGCGGACAUUUCCCUCUUCAAGCAGUGCUAUCAAAAGACAAGCAGCUGGCGCUCACUGUCUAUGCUAAUCUCAAUGCUUCAGUCUCCCUUGUUGCAAUGGCUUGUGCCCUGUCCCCCAUCCUUCUUGCUGCAAACCGCAUGCACACUGCCUCUGUCUCUCAGAAUCCUCUUGGAGAUUGCAGAGUGCUAAAGCACACGAACAAUCUCCACGCUUCCGCAUUCGCCUCAAUGUUUCAAUCUCCCUUGUUGUUUUAAUCAGUGAAGUGGAGUCAAACCUCGGCAUACAGCCUGCCUGCCAUGACGUUUUCACACACUACCUCCGCCUCCUGGAAUUCUCUUGGAGAUUGCAGAGUGCUGGAGCACCCAGAUGAUCUCCAAGCAGCAAAUCGCAGGCUCCAACAGUUCCAGAAUCACCUCCAAGAUGAAAAACAAACAUAAAACAUAUAAAACUGAAAUAAAUGGUUUCAUGAUUUAUCAAGGAGAUGUCGACUGAAGGAACAUUGUACGCAGGGGCCAACGUGUCUGGAAGGGUAUACCAAGUGUGGCUGACAACAAUAACUGCUUUAAAGGUCCAAGAAAAGCCAAUGUGGAUACACAUCUCACACAUUAAGCCACAGAACACAUGGCCAGAAGAACCCUGAUGAUAAGGACUGAUGGAUUAAACUCUUGAUCUUUGCUAUUUGCCAUCCUUAGUAACCAAUAUGCCUUAUACAUUUUGGGUAAUCUGGACAUCUAUUUUCUGCUUUAAAGCAGAUAUAUCCCAUGACACUAAUGCUGCUAAUACUUUUUUUUUGCUAGUUAUGAAUAUGGGUCACUUACUAACCAGUCAGGUUGUUGGGUGUGCUUUGGAGAAUAUUCGGAAGGUGAAUUUUCAAUACAUUUAUACACCUGGAUCAUAGGGAGUUUGAUUCCAUGUUUUACUUCAGUAACAAAACUAAAACUGUAAAGGGAGAACAGGACUAUGUGGCUCAUAGGAAUGAUUCAUUCCAAUGCCAGCUGCUUUGAGGGUUGUUUUCCACCUAUUAGAACAAUUGCAUAACCCAUUUGCUCCACUGUUGCUUCAAGGGGAUAGGAGUGAAAUAUGUUACUGUAUCCAUCAAGGGAUAGCACAUGGCUGGCUGUUGUAGGGCAUCUUUUGGAGUUAUGGAAUAUGGCAAAUAUUAAUUUCAACAGCAACCAGUCUUCAGAUCUAAAUGUGGAUUGUUGAUUGAGUUAAAAUGUAGCUCAGAAGCAAAUCGCCAGGCAGCAUGUUCAAGACUUGGAAUGAUUCGCCAGGGCGAGGCCCAGUUGUUAAAGCAAGGUAAAUAUGCUGUUUGGACAACUUAAACGCUGGCUCACAUAGACUGGAAAUACAGGGUGUCAAGAGUUGGGUGAGGUUAGAUAGCUCUGGGCGCUGAGCCAAUUUGAAAGGUCGAAAUCGACUCCUUCCGCAGUGAAAGCAAGGCCCGGAAGGAUUUGCCAGAACUGGGGCAGAUCUUAGUGCGAGGUUCGGACAAUUUAAACACCACCCCAGAUAGUCUGGGGGCUUCUUCUCCUCGACGCUAAGGGUGUGAGACUACAUCUGGCUGCUGUGCUUCGUGUCUGUAAACCUUGCAGCAAUUUGCUCUGCUCAUAUGAAGAACUGAAUACCGAGGCUUUGGGCCUACUCUGGAGAUUUGGAUCUAAGGACUUAAUUUCUUUGGAAUGCUGCUGUUGUUGCUCGCCUCUACUGUUUAUACGACUUGUUUUGUGUUUUUCUUCUUUCCUUGUGGGCACUGUGGGGGGGGGGGGGGAAGGUUAGUCUAGUUUUAAAAUUGGGUUGUUUUCAGUUCCUUGCUUUGCAGUUGCCUGUAAGCACACAAAUCUCAAAGUUGUAUAAUUUAUACAUUCCUUGAUAAUAAAUGCACUUUGAAUUUUUAAGAACAAUGGUGUUCCUGGAGUUGUAGAUUGGGGUUGAUUGCAAAUCAAGAAAAAACUCCAUUGACCUGAGAUGUCUGCAUAUGCAUGAAUGCAGGGUGAGAUUAACAUUCAUUUUGGGUGUCUGAAAUGAUGGUGUGAAGAUCUAGGUGUUUGAAAAUUAUAUGUAAUUCAAAGGAUUACAUAUAUACAUCGAAGGAUACACUGUAACUAUAGGAUUGUCCUGCCAUUACCUGUGAUCUUUAGUAUAUAAAAAUGUCAUGUUAUAUUGGCUCAGGGAGCCUUUUCUUCUAACAGUGCCUCCAGUAUGAUGCCUGCUUGUUUUGCUGAAUAAAGACUUCUAUAUCCACCAGCUUCAGUGUCAUAUCAACAUGGAAGCAUAAGAGACUGCAGAUGCUAGAAUGCAAAAAGCUGGAGCAACUUACUGAGUCAUACUAUAAAAUUCAGUGACAAUUAAAACUUAACUAAGUGUUGUAAUAUGAAGUGAACUUUUCAGGUUCAUAUACUUCCGAGUAUAUGAGCAUAU